CACAGCACAGCACAGCACAGCACAGCACAGCACAGCACAGCACAACACAGAUAGCACAGCACAGCACAGCACAGCACAGCACAGCUCAGCACAGACCAGCACAGACCAGCACAGCGCAGAUAGCACAGCACAGCACAGCACAGCACAAACCAGCACUGCACGUACCCCUGCAGCUGAGGCUUCCCGGGUCCCUCCUCUCCCUGCUGCCGGGAGCUGUGGCCAUUUCAGGGAGCCGGGGACACGCAGGGACCCUGUGGGGCCCUGGCUGUGGGCACAUGGUGGUGGCUUCAUGGGCUGCUGUGGGACCCUGCAUCUCUGCAGGGCUGAGUGGUGUCGGGGCUCUGUGGGGAGCCGGGGCUCCCCAGGUUGCUCUGGAAGGCUCAGACUGCCCGAGGGAGGAGCACUGGAAGGGUCAUGGAGGAGAAGGCAAGGCCUUUCUUUCUUGCAUUGCCUUCCUAGGCUUCAUGGCAACUCUGGCAUCAGAGACAGGCACAGAGGCCUCAGUGCAGCCCGGUGGCAGUCCCGGUGCAUUUCAUGGCUCUGCCGACUCCCCGGGGCAAUACUUCUGAAGCCCUGCAGUUUUCAGGUCUUUGGGAAAACACUCCUGCAAGCCCACAAGUCAGUCACAGGUCUGGGUCAGGGUGGGCUGGCCAAAAUCUCCCUGUGGAGGUCAAACAGAGCCCAAGCUCACAAGGGGAAGAUGUGCCACUGCUCAUAUCACAUAUUGGUUUCACUGCAGCACCCACGUGUUGGAAUCUCAGCAUCCUCCAUGGCUGGAGCAUUACCAGCCCUGCCUGUGGAGCUUCACUGGAGCUGGACACUCCAUCCUUGAGAUGCAGAAGCCUAUGAGGGAGCUGAGCACCACAGCAUGGGGAGCUGAGGACAUCACUGUGAUGGGAUGUGAGCAAUGGGCAGCGCUGGCCUUCCCCUCCUCUGGCUCUCACCCGGGGAACCCUGCACUGGAAAAUGGCAUCAUCUCCACGUACACACCAUGGCAGCCAAGGGAACAAGGGCACAAAUCCCUCCUCAGCAACAUCAGUGCCAUGUACCCAGGGGAGAAGGAAUCCUUGAUUUAGCAGACAUGACCAGACCGGGUCAGAAAAUGGAUAUUGUUCCAUAAAGGCAGUGGGGGACAAGGACAAACAGGAGUGACCUCCCAUGAUUUCCUGAGGCCCAAGGGAGCUGAGGAGCUGCAGGACGAGUGUACAUUGGGGUGCCCAGCUCUGGGAUUCACAUCCCCACUGCUUGGAGAAGGACGCUGCACAAAGCCUGACCCUGCUGUCGGAGCUGCGGACGGGCGGAUAAUACAGUCGCUGAAUUUAUUUCACCUUUUCCUCUGGUUGCGAAUUGUCCGGGAGCAGAUGGCGAUUUUCUCAAGUGUAUCCGUUAUUCGAAGUCACUCACUGAGACAGCGAUGGCUCAAACAAAUCCCAGGCCCCCUGCAAAGCCAUCAUUUGGUCUUUCCAUCUGCCCAGCGCCGCUGCCGGAGGGAAGCGGGGAGCCCGGAGAGCCCAGGGAUGUGGUCAGCUGCACCUCUCUCCCACUUCAUCUCUAUGGAAUGCUCAGCUCUGGAGGGUGGCAGGAGUGGCUGGGAUCCACAUCCCUCCUUUCCUGGGGUUUGGGGGGUUUGGGGCUGAGCUGUCUCGCUCGCACGGUGCCUUGCUGUGCAGUGACAGGGUCAGGGUAACUCACUGGGACAGUGCCCAGUUGCUGUGGGAAUCCAGGGCUUCCCUCUGGCUGCCCUGGCAGGGCUGGGACCCUGGCAGGGGUCAGGAACCCCCCUGGAAAGAGCCCCCAGAGACACUGGCUGUGAUCUCUGCCCAUGGAAAAGAGUUUUCAAUCUUACAGGAUGAAUUACAAGCUUUGAGUGUUUGAUAUGAGUAAUAAUUAAGGGUGGCACGGGUGCAAAAGUAAAAUUUUAGGUUUCUAGAUUAGGGGUUCAGAGGGGACAAGAUGGAGGAAUUGGGUGUGUCUUGUCCUUUUUCUCCUUCUUCAUGCCCUCCAUGUUUCACUGUGGUGUUGGCAUUUUUCUGUUGGUUCAGGCUGGGGACACACUGUCCAACGUAGGUGACAGAUAUUGGCACGUUAUUGUAAAUCCAGCACAGGGAGUUUGUGGUAUUUAAUGUUUGUACCAUCCCACUGAGGGCAGAGCCCCACACGCUGCCCUGCAGGACAGAGCUGCGGCAGGGCAGCAGAACAUGUUAGAGAUAAACAGAAUAAACAACCUUGAAA
ensembl:lncRNA